rnacentral:rRNA from 1 species
ACCGCUGAAAGCAUCUAAGCGGGAAGCGAGCCCUGAGAUGAGUCUUCCCUGAUACUUUAAGUAUCCUAAAGGGUUGUUCGAGACUAGAACGUUGAUAGGCAGGGUGUGUAAGCGUUGUGAGGCGUUGAGCUAACCUGUACUAAUUGCCCGUGAGGCUUAACCAU